UACGUAGGGUCCGAGCGUUGUCCGGAUUUAUUGGGCGUAAAGAGCUCGUAGGCGGUUCCGUAAGUCAGAUGUGAAAACUCAGGGCUCAACCCGGAGACGCCAUCUGAUACUGCGGUGACUGGAGUCUGGUAGGGGAGAUCGGAAUUCCUGGUGUAGCGGUGAAAUGCGCAGAUAUCAGGAGGAACACCGGUGGCGAAGGCGGAUCUCUGGGCCUUACCUGACGCUGAGGCGCGAAAGUGUGGGGAGCGAACAGG
rnacentral:rRNA from 1 species